GAAUGUUUGAGGGCGAUCUGGAUGUGACAUCUGUCACCUCAUUGACAGGCUUGAUUUCUGUGGAUCUUGCUGACUAGGUGGGGUCCCCUUCCUCCCUCACUGCUCCAUGUGUGUCCCUCUCAAAGCUUUAUAUUCAGUUGAAGUGGACAACCUUCCCUGAUACAGGAAGACUGUUCUUUGGUGAGGGGUAUAGGAGUAGCUGCGCUUCCCUGCUAGAACCUCCAAACAAGCUCUCAAGGUCCAUUUGUAGAACAAAGGAUAGUCAAGCUUCCAAGGCUCCAGACACAUCCAAUGGGGCACUGCAUGUGGCAACCUGCCUUUCUU
rnacentral:snRNA from 1 species